ACACCUCAAAGAACAACAGUUACAAAAGCAUCCAUGGGGACAGACAGAUAUUGUGUUCUUAGUCCCAGAAGACCUACUUGCAAAGUCCAAAGUUGUAUCGGCUUCACUCUACUCAUAUCUUUCAGAGUCCUGAGAGGUGCACAAGGAGCUCAAAUAUGCUGAGAAUCUCUUCAUAACUACUCCUCAAUGGCAGUUGAGGAGUUUCCUGAGGCAAAUUGUCAUCAGCUAUGAGGACUUUAAACUCACAUUCUCAGGAGGAUUUGAAUGGAGUCCUUUCUGCUUGUACCAAUGAGCUGAAGUGCCAGGUUCUUGGCUGCAACCCAGGAGCACCUAGUACAGCUCUGGAGGGAGGGUGUGCAAAGGUGCCUUUAAACCCUCUUUGCACUCCCGAGGGCUGUGAGCAUUUAGGCUGUUCUAACCCAUGCUACCUGCCAGUGUCUUCAAGAGUCUGAUACAGCAACUGAGGAUUGCCUGGGUGCAAGUAAGCCCUGGUCACAGAAAGGGGAGUGUGGUGUAGGAGACCCAACAGCAUCAUUAUACCACUGGAGAAUUACUCUUCACUGUGGAGAUCCUCCAACAGCCAGCUGCAUUCGGCUUAGUUACAGAUCAAAGCAAUCUCAGUACAGCCCAGAAUCUGGGCCAAACUUUUUUCAUGCAUUGGGCUGGAACACAAGACCAAAACACAGGAACAUUUUACUUCUAGUCAAGCCAAAGGUUAAAUAAAUCUCAAUAUUAGCUUAAAGCAGCGAUAUUUUCAAUUCCAUCCAUUCUUGGCUGGCAGGAGUGAGUGUUGAAAGAGUCCCACAAUUGCCCAGCAGUAAUACUGAAGUCCCAAAAUUUUCCUUACCAAAUAUGUAAUGAGAAGGGAAGAAAUGAGGAGACACUUUGUCCUUGAGGUCUAGACCCAAACUUCUCCAGUAUGAACUAUGGAAUCUCUCCUGAGAGUAAUCUUCUAAGUCCCCAUAACUAUUACCUCUAGUGGGUUCUGAAGCACCGGCUCUGUAGAAAUCAGCUUUAUGAAUAAGAUGAAUUUUGAUCACAUUCUCCUAUCAAAAGGGGGAAACAGAGGCAGGGAGCAAAGUGACAGAG